AUACUACUCCCUCCGUCCGGAAAUAUUUGUCAUCAAAAUGAAUAAAAAAGAGAUGUAUCUAAAUGUAUUUUAGUUCUAGAUACAUUUUUUUGUCUAUUUUGAUGACAAGUAUUUUCGGGCGGAGGGAGUACAUA
rfam:Triticum urartu cultivar G1812 contig357877, whole genome shotgun sequence.